ensembl:lncRNA
UGACCAAACCGAAUGGAUGCUGCGGAGGGUCACUCCUGAGUCACUUCCUAGGACUCCCCAGUCUGCUCUACCUGCAUCCAGCAAGGAGACCGCAUCCUUGGUCACUUAUUAUCAGACGACUCCCAAGGCAAAGAGCAAGAGAAACUGUGCAAUUCCUAAUAAGCUCAUCAUUAGCCACACGACUCCUGGUCCACUAUUGCCAGUUAAUGACCAAACCUCACAGUGUAGACAACUGACAUUUUGCCUGAGCAGCCGUCUCUGGCCAGUGAUAAUUAACCUGAAGGAUAACUAUAAAUACUGCGUGUAA